GCCUCUUCAACUCGUAGCAUUGCUCAGUGUCGUGCCCGUGCUACCGAUGAAAUCGGCAAUAUCUUGAUCGGUCUGCGAGCUCCCGCGGGUUCCUCAUCGGGCGAGGGUCCUUGAGCAGCCCCUUCCCCUUCUCGUGCAGGAAUAUUUCAGUCCGGGACGAAUUCAAGGCGGGAAGAGGAGGCCUCGGGUCAGGUCUAUCCAACUUUCGCCGGGAGGCGGUGGGUUGUUGCUGUCGGGGCGGUUCUGUCUUGACCUUUUUGUGUUCCUCCCGUCUUCCAGCCAUCCA
rnacentral:lncRNA from 1 species